CUAUGUGUGGAUUCCUGCCAUGAUGCCUUGCACACAGUGGGAGCUCCAGAGCCACCAGAGGCCCUCCUUUCACCUUAAUCCUCCCUGAAACCAGAAAGCAGAGCAAUACAAGCAGGGAGAACAAAAGAAGUUCCAUCCAUCUCGAAGCAGCCUCUGUCUCAGGACCAGAGCUGGUGUCCUCGCUCACUGGUGCUCCAGACACCUUGGAUGCUGAGGGCCAGCUGGUCUGCCUCUGCCACCAGAUGGGCCCAGACAGGCUGACUGCGACAUGAAAUGACUGCCUGCCACAUGCCAGGCAUGAGGAUGAGGACUGCACAUCCUCACAGCAGGUCUAUAACAGCUCUGUAAAGUGGCUAUGCAGCCCAUUCCACAGGUAAAAAGUCUGAGGCCCAAGGAGGAGCUGUGGCACUGUCCUGAGACACAGCCCAGAUCUAAAAUUCAGGCUGCCUGACUCCACAUCCUGCACUCUUCUCACGGGAGUCCCUGCCUCCAAACUCAGGAGCACCCCAGAGUCCUGCACCCUCAUGCAGAGCUCCUCAUGCCCCAGCUCUUGAGCCCUGGGGUGUAUAGAUUUGAAGUUGCCAUGGAGCACUUGCUAUCAGGGAACCAAAAGCCAGAUUUCCUAGGUGUGACUCCCAGCUUAGCAGCUGUGGGAACUUGGGCAAAGGAACUCUAACCUCUCUGAGUUUCAGCUUCCUUGUCUGCAGACCAGGAAUAACAAUUCACAAGGUGUUAUAAAAAUUAAAUCAGUGAACAUGCACAAUGCUGCAAAUAUCAAGUUAUGAGUAGCAGUACUAUUGUUGUUGUCCUUGUUGGUUUUUGUCUUAAGCCUGAAUCCCUAGAAGCAUAGCCCAAAUGGGGACUCUUGUGUAAGUGGUAUAUUGGGGCACUGUCUGGAGAGAAACAUAAGGGAAAAGAGAGGGGAGAAAGACCAAGG
rnacentral:lncRNA from 10 species